AGUGAACGCUGGCGGUAGGCCUAACACAUGCAAGUCGAACGGCAGCACAGUAAGAGCUUGCUCUUACGGGUGGCGAGUGGCGGACGGGUGAGGAAUACAUCGGAAUCUACUUUUUCGUGGGGGAUAACGUAGGGAAACUUACGCUAAUACCGCAUACGACCUACGGGUUAAAGCAGGGGAUCUUCGCACCUUGCGCGAUUGAAUGAGCCGAUGUCGGAUUAGCUAGUUGGCGGGGUAAAGGCCCACCAAGGCGACGAUCCGUAGCUGGUCUGAGAGGAUGAUCAGCCACACUGGAACUGAGACACGGUCCAGACUCCUACGGGAGGCAGCAGUAGGGAAUAUUGGACAAUGGGCGAAAGCCUGAUCCAGCCAUGCCGCGUGGGUGAAGAAGGCCUUCGGGUUGUAAAGCCCUUUUGUUGGGAAAGAAAAGCAGCAGGUUAAUACCCCGCUGUUCUGACGGUACCCAAAGAAUAAGCACCGGCUAACUUCGUG
rnacentral:rRNA from 1 species